rnacentral:rRNA from 1 species
UGGGGAAUAUUGCACAAUGGGCGCAAGCCUGAUGCAGCCAUGCCGCGUGUAUGAAGAAGGCCUUCGGGUUGUAAAGCACUUUCAGCGGGGAGGAAGGCGAUAAGGUUAAUAACCUUGGCAAUUGACGUUACCGACAGAAGAAGCACCGGCUAACUCCGUGCCAGCAGCCGCGGUAAUACGGAGGGUGCAAGCGUUAAUCGGAAUUACUGGGCGUAAAGCGCACGCAGGCGGUUGAUUGAGUCAGAUGUGAAAUCCCCGGGCUUAACCCGGGAAUUGCAUCUGAUACUGGUCAGCUAGAGUCUUGUAGAGGGGGGUAGAAUUCCAUGUGUAGCGGUGAAAUGCGUAGAGAUGUGGAGGAAUACCGGUGGCGAAGGCGGCCCCCUGGACAAAGACUGACGCUCAGGUGCGAAAGCGUGGGGAGCAAACAGG